rnacentral:tRNA from 1 species
GGAGAAGUACUCAAGUGGCUGAAGAGGCGCCCCUGCUAAGGGUGUAGGUCGUGUAAGCGGCGCGAGGGUCAAAAUCCCUCUUCCGCCA